rnacentral:rRNA from 1 species
CUUGAAACACGGACCAAGGAGUUUUAAAACCCAAAGGGAAAAGGAAGUUAAGAGCAGGAAAUUUGUAAAAAAAUUUUUUUUUUACAAUCUCUCUUAAGGGAAGAUGGAAAUUUCAUACAUUAUGUGUGUGUGAAGAUUUCCCGCACUCCCAGGGCGCUUGUAUUUCGCUUUGCGAAUCGAUGCGCACCUAGAGCGUACACGAUGAUACCCGAAAGAUGGUGAACUAUGCCUGGCCAGGACGAAGCCAGGGGAAACCCUGGUGGAGGUCCGCAGCGAUUCUGACGUGCAAAUCGAUCGUCGGAGCUGGGUAUAGGGGCGAAAGACCAAUCGAACCAUCUAGUAGCUGGUUCCCUCUGAAGUUUCCCUCAGGAUA